ensembl:snoRNA LOC120102118 small nucleolar RNA U3
AAGACUAUACUUUCAGGGAUCAUUUCUAUAGUUCGUUACUAGAGAAAAUGCCUCCUGAAGAUGGGGCUGUGGGCAAGCCUGAAAGGC